GCUUGUCUCAAAGAUUAAGCCAUGCAUGUUCAAGUAUAGCAAGUGUACAGUGAAACUGCGAAUGGCUCAUUAAAUCAGUUAUAAUUUAUUUGAUGGUGACUUACUACAUGGAUAACCGUAGUAACCUAGAGCUAAUACAUGCACAAAAUCCCGACUUCACGGAAGGGAUGUAUUUAUUAGAUAAAAAACCAAUCCGGCAACGGUGCUUGGUGAUUCAUAAUAACUGUUCGAAGCGCACGGCCUCGCGCCGGCGCUAGUUCAUUCAAAUUUCUGCCCUAUCAGCUUUCGACGGUAGUGUAGUGGACUACCGUGGCGCUAACGGGUGACGGAGAAUUAGGGUUCGGUUCCGGAGAGGGAGCCUGAGAAACGGCUACCACAUCCAAGGAAGGCAGCAGG
rnacentral:rRNA from 1 species